GUCCAGGGUAGCCUAGUGGACAUGGCACCUGCCCGGUAAGCAGAAGGUUGUGGGUUCGAUUCCCGCUCCGGGACA
rnacentral:tRNA from 1 species